ACAAAACACCACCCUGAACCAAGGGCCCUGCCCUCAUUUCCUUAUAAGGGAACAAGCCAAGCUGAACCAAGGGCCCCACCCUGAUCUCAUCAUAAGGACACAAACCACACUGAACCAAGGGCCAGCAGAAACAUCAAAGUCCUGCACAUGUCAAAACUUCUCUGGAUCCUCAUUGCUCUCAAACUCUACCACCUCGUCUGGAUCUUGAUGAGAGCUGCAACUUCUCCCUACGACCCUCUCCUCAACCAGUUGUCCACUCCACGCCAGGAAAAACCUGCCUUGGUUCUGGACCUGUUCACUGUGAUCUGAGUACCAGAGAUAUCAGGUAACAAUAAUCAAGGGACAUCAUCAAGUAUAGAAGCUCCAAAAGAAGUCUAUCUGGGCUCAAAUCUUACCUAUACCACUCUUUCACAGGGUGCCUUGUGAGGAGAAGAUUGCUACUGAACCCCCAGGUGGCAGAGUGAGCUUGGACUGAAGAACAGGUGCCUCUUCCAUUGUCAUAGAGAGAGUGAAGCAGUCCCGGGUGUGAGUCAGGAAAUUAGGAGACAAGGAAAUGGAAGCUUUAUCUGACAAAGAAGAAAUGCAGGGAUAACUGGGGGACUCAACAGCAUCACAUCUGGGUCAACACAGUGCAGUCUGAAAAUAUGCAGAAGCUGUACAUGAGUGGAAGUGGCUACAAACAUGAGAACUCCAGGAGUUUAAAGUGCACUCAAGCAGGCCUAGAACUUCCACAGAGUGUGUACUUCAAGAGUUUGGACCAAUUGUGAAGAUACCAAGAAUGACAGUGUGGAAAGUUCCCAACUGACAUCUAGGUUGUGAAAAGCAAUGAACUUUUAGUUGAAGAACUGGAACUAGAAAGGGAUGCCUUUUUGAAUGAAUGCUUUUGGUGGAAGGACUUUUUUCUCUAUGUCACCUACUCAUCUGACCAAAGUUGGACCCCCUGGCCUCUGAGUUGUUAUUCUAAGCCUCUGGACCUAAGAUAUCUAAAGAAUGGUCUUACAGAGCCAGCUGUAAUUGGUUAUGCAGGAAGAGACCAUGGAAGACUUUAUACCAUGAGCACAACUUCAACGGCUCCAUCAUUUUCCUCCCUCAGUUAAAAGACUUUCACUUCCAAUAUUAUGGUGAAGUUC